UGUUUAGACUUCAUAAUAUUUGAAUUCUAUAAUUGCAUUAAAUCUCAAAUAAACUCUUUACGUACAGUCUUUCUCAGAUACGGAAGAGGGCAUAAUUAAGUGCAUUAUUGAGUAUCCUUGUAGUUGAGUUUAUGUUUUAGUAAAGGCAGCAACAAGUCCAAAGAUUUCUAAAAGAAAGGAAUCAACUUUUAAUGUUUUCUUUCGCUGCGAACCGUGAAGUUGUUUUGAAAUAAUUUUCUAAUAAAUUUUUUUCUCUGUGUAAGAAAAUUUUCUAAAGUGUAUUCUUGAAAGGAGGGCCAAUAUAACAUCACCCAAAGCAAUUGUUGUAGAGAAUAAUGUACUCCCUCCAUCCUAAAAUUCUUGGGGUGUUUGGGGAAUACAACUUAAUUGGGUAAGGGUUAAAUUUCAAAUUUAUCCUUACUAAAAGACAAAAGAGUACUCCGUAAUUAGUGCAUCAAGUCAAUGUCAAAGGAUAGUUUGGGAAUGUUAUAAAAAUAGUUCAUCUAUUUUUGGAAUGGGACAUGUAUUUUGGGGCAUCACAAAAUUGAAAAUAGACAAGAAUUUUGGGAUGGAGGGAGUAUAUUGCAAUGCAUUAUAACUUGUAAGUUACCCUUGAUAUGUGAAGUUAUGGCCCUAUUGUGUCACUUGAUUGUGUUAUAACACGUGUUUUGUCGCAUCAAUAACAUGUAAAUAUUUGAGUAUGUAUUAGAACAGGUUUAUUUGUUAUAUAUAUCUUGUAUUGCAACGUACAUAUAGCUAUUGUUUUUAUAUUAUCAUCAGGGAAAAGAAUUUUUUUGCUUCUUAUUUUAUUAUUCCUUUUUCUGUCUAUCAGUCUGUGAGCCUUGAUUGGUGGCUUGGAAGUUGAGAACCAGUGCCACCAAGCCAAAGGGAGACUGGUUCUUAUUUUAUUAUUCUGCUUAUACUUUCAGUAUUGUUUUUAUAGAGUCAAUCAUGAUGAUUGCUUUAAUACAAGGUUAGUUAUUCUUUAAAUAAAACAAACACGGGCAUGAGACUUGUAAACGGUACAAUAUGAAUACACCACCAUGUGAAUUCUGUAAAAAGUAGCAUACAAACACAACAUGGAUCCAUAGUUGUUAAAGGCGCCGAAGGCGCGCGCCUGAGGCGCAAGGCGCCUCCAGGCGCCACCUUGGCGCCUUGAUUGACUUAAGGCGAGUGGUUUGGGAUAGGCAAGGCUACAGGCGAGAUGCAGGCGCGCCUGCGUGAAAAAUGGGUUUUUUUUUUUAAUUAUCUUGGUUGUGUUACUUGUAUCUGUUUUUUAUUUGUUUAUUUGUUGUUUUUAUUUGUUUAUUACAAAUCUACACAACUUGCAAGUUAAAAAGCAUAAAUAAAAAAAAAGAAAAAGAAAAGAAAAGAAAGGAAUAAAAGAGCAAAAGGAAAGUGGAAAGAAGAGAGUCAAGACUGAAGAGACAGAGAAGAGAGAAGUACGAGUGAUCUGCGAAGCGCCGAAGACUGGAUCUGCCAGAUCUGCAUCUGCGCCGAAGCCUGUUACGAUAUUCGGAGCAUUGGGGGAAGGAAAUAAUACUAUUGCAUGAAAUAAAAAGGCGUAAAGUUGGCAACCGCCCCCAUCAAUGCCUAAAGGAGGUGGAAUUGGCUGGGUUUGUUGGCCGUCUUAUUGACCUUGAUCUUGCCAAAUACUUGAUGAAGAAUGCCAUCAAUUUGGAGAAGAUUACCAUUGAUCGUCACUGGGUAUGUUUUACAAGCGGACCGCCGGUGUUCAAGGAAACCAAGAAGAAACUUUAUGCAAAAGAGCGUGCCAUGCAGCUCCAAGAAAGUCUACCUGCAAGUGUCAAAAUGGAAAUUAUUUAAUCCUCCGCAACUGCAUUUGGCUGCUCAAUGUUUAGUUUCUGGGGAAUGGUAGAAGCGGUGAUACUGAAUGCUCUGGGAUCAUGCUGCAAAUUUGUUGUUGAUCAUCUCAUCGGAUUAGCACUAGGCGCAUGGCAUUGGAGCUUGGUUCUUGUCCCCUGAGAAGUAGAUGCUGUUUGAUAAAGUUUGAAAUAAAAUUCAAGGAACCGAGAGUGAGUGUGGAAGCCAUUGUAAUAAAUAAAUAAACAUAAUCUCCUCAGAUUUUAUAAGCUGUUAUUGAGUUUAGCUUUUAAUACUGGUUUGAAUUUUAAUAUUUGGAUUUUAGUGUAAAUAGUGUUUAUGAAUUAUAUUGCAGGAAAAUAAUGUAUUUCUUAUUAAAAUAA